UAGGGAAUUUUCCACAAUGGACGAAAGUCUGAUGGAGCAACGCCGCGUGCAGGAUGAAGGCCCUCGGGUCGUAAACUGCUUUUAUUGGUGACGAUUAUGACGGUAGCCAAUGAAUAAGGAUCGGCUAACUCCGUGCCAGCAGCCGCGGUCAUACGGGGGAUCCAAGCGUUAUCCGGAAUUACUGGGCGUAAAGAGUUGCGUAGGUGGCAUUGUAAGUCUGUAGUGAAAGCGUGGGGCUCAACCCCAUACGCAUUAUGGAAACUACAAAGCUAGAGGACGAGAGAGGUAAUUGGAAUUCCUAGUGUAGGAGUGAAAUCCGUAGAUAUUAGGAGGAACACCGAUGGCGUAGGCAGAUUACUGGCUCGUUCCUGACACUAAGGCACGAAAGCGUGGGUAGCAAACGGGAUUAGAUACCCCCGUAGUCC
rnacentral:rRNA from 1 species